rnacentral:rRNA from 1 species
UACGAAGGUCCCAAGCGUUAUCCGGAUUUAUUGGGUUUAAAGGGUGCGUAGGCGGAUUAUUAAGUCAGUGGUGAAAGCCCCAAGCUCAACUUGGGAACUGCCAUUGAUACUGGCGAUCUUGAGUCCGGGAGAGGUGAGUGGAACUCCUAGUGUAGAGGUGGAAUUCGUAGAUAUUAGGAAGAACACCAGUGGCGAAGGCGGCUCACUGGUCCGGUACUGACGCUGAGGUGCGAAAGCGUGGGGAGCAAACAGG